GAAAUGCGAUAAGUAAUGUGAAUUGCAGAAUUCAGUGAAUCAUCGAAUCUUUGAACGCACCUUGCGCUCCUUGGUAUUCCGAGGAGCAUGCCUGUUUGAGUGUCAUUAAAUUCUCAACCCUUAUCGGUUGGAUGUGGGGGUUGCUGGCUCCUCAGGUCAGCUCCCCUCAAAUGCAUUAGCUGGUGCCCCGUGUGGGACUGUCUAUUGGUGUGAUAAUUAUCUACGCCGUGGAUGAGCACUGCUUCCAACACCACAAUUACAUGACAAUUUGACCUCAAAUCAGGUAGGACUACCCGCUGAACUUAA
rnacentral:misc_RNA from 1 species